CUGGAAGAGGCGUUUGGCAUCUACAACUUGACUACUUUAUAUUCGUACGGAAAUUACUCGCCCAUUGUUUUCUCAUCGGCUCCAAGCACGUUGCUGCAUGAGAAGUUUGAUGAAGCUUACCCUUCCAGACAAGAGAUUGCCUAUCGGGCUGAAUUACAAGGCGAGGGCCGCGAGACAAUUUCUAGCGCAGUACCUGCUUUAAGAAAUUCGAUCAACAAAGAAAACGACUAUGUUCACGAUCAGAGAAAAUGGAUUUCUCAAGAGUCCCUGUGCAAUAUAAUUAAACAAUUCUUGUCAAUAGAGGGGAGAGACUCCUUUUCACGGUGUUUUGAACUGUACAAAAAUAGCUUAAGUUGUGAUAAUUAUUUUCUAUUUAACGGCAAGAGAAUAACCAAACGUUUGCUCUUUGAUCUAGUCAGUGAAAUGGUUAUCGCUUAUCAAGAAUUGUACCGCUAUACUUACUUUAACUUUAAAAAUCCUAUACCUACCACAAUAAUUCAAAAGCAAGUUUUUCAAGUUUUAAAUCGCCCGAAAUCAAACGAGCAUAAGGUUGAGCGAGCUAAUAAAAUAAUUUAUUCUCGGAAAUUAGUAAAUAACUCAAUCGUUCACAGUGCAGUUGUUCAAUCUUUGAAGAAUGAAGAAGAUUCUUGGACAAAUUAUGACCAAGAAGAAAAGCAAAGAAAGCUGUUGGUUAGUCGAGAAAUUCUUAAGGAUUUGUUAUGUGACACAACUCAAGUCUUUAGCCAUAUACUUGCCAAGAAAAACGACCUUUUAAGAAAUAAUAUGAAUGAAAAUUACCGCGUCAAUAUGUAAAUUAUUUGAAUGUCGUAAGAUAAGUUGCAUGAUUAGAAUUAA